rnacentral:rRNA from 1 species
CCUAGCGGCGGACGGGUGAGUAAUGCUUAGGAAUCUGCCUAUUAGUGGGGGACAACAUUCCGAAAGGAAUGCUAAUACCGCAUACGCCCUACGGGGGAAAGCAGGGGAUCUUCGGACCUUGCGCUAAUAGAUGAGCCUAAGUCAGAUUAGCUAGUUGGUGGGGUAAAGGCCUACCAAGGCGACGAUCUGUAGCGGGUCUGAGAGGAUGAUCCGCCACACUGGGACUGAGACACGGCCCAGACUCCUACGGGAGGCAGCAGUGGGGAAUAUUGGACAAUGGGCGAAAGCCUGAUCCAGCCAUGCCGCGUGUGUGAAGAAGGCCUUUUGGUUGUAAAGCACUUUAAGCGAGGAGGAGGCUACUUAGAUUAAUACUCUAGGAUAGUGGACGUUACUCGCAGAAUAAGCACCGGCUAACUCUGUGCCAGCAGCCGCGGUAAUACAGAGGGUGCGAGCGUUAAUCGGAUUUACUGGGCGUAAAGCGUGCGUAGGCGGCUUCUUAAGUCGGAUGUGAAAUCCCUGAGCUUAACUUAGGAAUUGCAUUCGAUACUGGGAAGCUAGAGUAUGGGAGAGGAUGGUAGAAUUCCAGGUGUAGCGGUGAAAUGCGUAGAGAUCUGGAGGAAUACCGAUGGCGAAGGCAGCCAUCUGGCCUAAUACUGACGCUGAGGUACGAAAGCAUGGGGAGCAAACAGGAUUAGAUACCCUGGUAGUCCAUGCCGUAAACGAUGUCUACUAGCCGUUGGGGCCUUUGAGGCUUUAGUGGCGCAGCUAACGCGAUAAGUAGACCGCCUGGGGAGUACGGUCGCAAGACUAAAACUCAAAUGAAUUGACGGGGGCCCGCACAAGCGGUGGAGCAUGUGGUUUAAUUCGAUGCAACGCGAAGAACCUUACCUGGUCUUGACAUAGUAAGAACUUUCCAGAGAUGGAUUGGUGCCUUCGGGAACUUACAUACAGGUGCUGCAUGGCUGUCGUCAGCUCGUGUCGUGAGAAGGUUGGGUUAAGUCCCGCAACGAGCGCAACCCUUUUCCUUAUUUGCCAGCGGGUUAA